GACAUUUGGUAGAGACUGUUGAAGCCACCUGGUCCCAGCAGACCCCAGAAGGCGGCCACAUUCGCUGGUGCUGGGGCAAGGUCAUUAAGGGUGAAGCCUGGUGCCAGAUGUGU
ensembl:rRNA 5S_rRNA 5S ribosomal RNA